rnacentral:rRNA from 1 species
AUUGAACGCUGGCGGCAGGCUUAACACAUGCAAGUCGAGCGCGCGGCGGACGGGUGAGUAAUGUCUGGGAAUCUGCCUGAUGGAGGGGGAUAACUACUGGAAACGGUAGCUAAUACCACAUACCAUCAGAUGUGCCCAAAUGGGAUUAGCUAGUAGGUGGGGUAAUGGCUCACCUAGGCGACGAUCCCUAGCUGGUCUGAGAGGAUGACCAGCCACACUGGAACUGAGACACGGUCCAGACUCCUACGGGAGGCAGCAGUGGGGAAUAUUGCGCAAUGGGCGCAAGCCUGAUGCAGCCAUGCCGCGUGUGUGAAGAAGGCCUUCGGGUUGUAAAGCACUUUCAGCGGGGAGGCGUUACUCACAGAAGAAGCACCGGCUAACUCCGUGCCAGCAGCCGCGGUAAUUC